CCUGACAGCUCAGUGGUAAAGAAUCUGCCUGCAAUGCAGGAGACCUGGGUUCAAUCCCUGGGUUGGGA
rnacentral:tRNA from 1 species